UCUGAAUUCACUGCCUUGACAAUGAAUUUCAAUCUUAUGCUAUGUCCUUCCUUGGAGGUCAGAAGAGGCUCCUAAAAGCUGAGAACAAUGUAGCACCAUAAAUUCCAGGACAUGAAACAGGCCCUUUUGAGCUACAUGAAAGGUUAUCCAAGGAGAAUAAGAAGCAGUCUAUCACAUGAUCCAUUGAACUCCCAGCAGAUCUGACAGCUCAGCCUUCCUGCUCCUCCUGCAUGAAAGGCAAAGUGCCUCUACUCACCAU